rnacentral:rRNA from 1 species
UACGUAGGGUGCGAGCGUUGUCCGGAAUUAUUGGGCGUAAAGAGCUCGUAGGCGGCUCGUCGCGUCGACCGUGAAAACCCGCAGCUUAACUGCGGGCCUGCGGUUGAUACGGGCGGGCUAGAGUUCGGUAGGGGAGACUGGAAUUCCUGGUGUAGCGGUGAAAUGCGUAGAUAUCGGGAGGAACACCAGUGGCGAAGGCGACUACCUGGCCUGUUCUUGACGCUGAGGCGCGAAAGCUAGGGGAGCAAACGGG